AUGAUGAAUUUGGUGAUCAAGAAUAUAUUAGAGAGGAUGAAGAGUAUGAAGAGGAUGAAGAUGACGCUAAUGGCGAAGGAAAUGAUGAUAAAGACUUGGGUUUUAAUGAUUCUUGAACUUUCAUGUUUAGUUAUUUUAAGAUUUAGUUGCUUAAGUGUUUUUUUUUUAAUUUUAUUGCAAUUUUAA